rnacentral:tRNA from 1 species
ACGCUUAUAAUCCAGUGGUAGGAUAUCAGCCUUCCAAGCUGAGUGCCCGGGUUCGAGUCCCGGUGGGCGUA